rnacentral:misc_RNA from 1 species
AUCUCAAGACAAAUAAUAACAAGCAAAUAAACAAGGAAACAUGUAUUAGGAAAUGAUUGAAUAUAAAAUUGACUUUCAAUUAACAAUCUAUGCUUUAUUCAGGAUAUGAACAUGGACAUCAAAACAUGAAAAGUUAUCCAAGCCCAAGUUUUGGUUCAAUCUUAGUCACUUUGUAACUAGAAAAGCAAUUAACUAUUAAAAAUAAAAUGCAUAUUUAGAUGAAUGAGAUGUGGUUUAAAACUCAAGCAUACAUGCCAACGUCAACAAGUCAUAAAUCCAAACUAAACUUGAGAAUUCCAAACAUAUCAG